AACGAACGCUGGCGGCAUGCCUAACACAUGCAAGUCGAACGAUACCUUCGGGGCUAGUUUCGCACGGGUGCGUAACGCGUGGGAACCUGCCCUUAGGUUCGGAAUAACUCCCCGAAAGGGGUCCUUAUACCGGAUAAUGUCUUCGGACCAAAUAUUUAUCGCUUUUUGAUGGGCCCGCGUUGGAUUAGCUUGUUGGUAGGGUAAAAGCCUACCAAGGCUACGAUCCAUAGCUGGUCUGAGAGGAUGAUCAGCCACACUGGGACUGAGACACGGACCAGACUCCUACGGGAGGAAGCAGUGGGGAAUAUUGGACGAUGGGCGAAAGACUGAUCCUGCAAUGCCGCGUGAGUGAUGAAGGAGUUAGGGUUGUAAAGCUCUUUUACACGGGAUGAUAAUGACAGUACCGUGAGAAUAAGCUCCGGCUAACUACGUG
rnacentral:rRNA from 1 species